UGGCAAUCAUGCACCUGCUCCUGAUCAGCCAUCCCUACCUCUUAAGGAGAGACCAGACUUCCAUUCCCUGCUGGAUUGUGUGAAGUCGUGUACCAUCACCUGUACUACCUGUUCUGCCUGCCUGCCUACCAGUUCCAAGUCCCUCAAAGCCAAGAUCAUUUCCAGCCAGCCACGCCAGCCAGCCCUCACGCUCCACUGCUUGGAAAGAGACUCCCUGCCAUCUCACCCUGCCUAGUUUGCUCACCCUGCCUCAGUCAAUAAACUGUUUAACUGCU